rnacentral:rRNA from 1 species
AAUUUAUUUAUUAAUUUAUUUAAAUUAUUAAAAAUAAUUAUAUAAUGUAAUGUUUUAGUAUAUAAUAUAGAAAAAAUAAUAUUAAUUAUAGUUUAAUAGUAUUGUGAAAUAAAAUUGAAAUAUUUGAAAAAUUUUUAUUAUAAAAGUAAAUUUAAUUUAUUGUACCUUGUGUAUCAGGGUUUAUUUAUUAAAAAUUAUUUAUUAUAAUUUUCUCGAUUUUAAAAGAGUUAAUAUAUUAUAAAAGUUAAUGUAACAAAAUUAUUUUUAAUAAUAUAUUAGUAAUGAAAUGUUAUUCGUUUUUAAAGGUAUCUAGUUCUUUAAGAAAUAAAUUUAAUUUAUAAAUUUUAUAUUAUUUAAUUAAGUAAAUUAAUUAAAUAAUUAUUUAAUUUAAAUAUUUUAUGGGAUAAGCUAUAAAAUAAAAUUUUAAAAAUUCAUUAAUUAAUAUAUAAAUAUAAACUUAGAAAUAGUUAUUAUUAAUAAAAAUGUUAUAAUUUAUUUUGUAAUAAUUAAUUAUUUAUUUAAUUUUAAAUUUUUAUUAAAGUAUUUAUUUUAAUUUUAAAAAUAAAAAAAUAAUGAUAUAAUUAGUAUAAAUUAUUAUAUAAAUAAAUUUUUAAGAUAAGUUGUUAUAAAGAAUUCGGCAAAAUAAUGUUCGCCUGUUUAACAAAAACAUGUCUUUUUUUGUUUAUAAAAAGUCUAACCUGCCCACUGAAUAAAUUUUAAUGGCCGCAGUAUUUUAACUGUGCAAAGGUAGCAUAAUCAUUAGUCUUUUAAUUGAAGGCUUGUAUGAAUGGUUGGACGAGAUAUUAACUGUUUCAUCUUAAUUUUUUUUUGAAUUUAAUUUUUUAGUCAAAAAGCUAAAAUUUAUUUAAAAGACGAGAAGACCCUAUAAAUCUUUAUAUUAAAAUUAUUAUUAUUAUUUAGAUUUAUUUUAUAAUAAUAAUUAAUAAUAUUUUAUUGGGGUGAUAUUAAAAUUUAUAAAACUUUUAAUUUUUAUUUUACAUUAAUUUAUGAAUAAAUGAUCCAUUUUUAAUGAUUAAAAAUACAAGUUACUUUAGGGAUAACAGCGUAAUUUUUUUGGAGAGUUCUUAUCAAUAAAAAAGAUUGCGACCUCGAUGUUGGAUUAAGAAAUAAUUUUAGGUGUAGAAGCUUAAAUUUUAAGUCUGUUCGACUUUUAAAUUCUUACAUGAUCUGAGUUCAAACCGGUGUAAGCCAGGUUGGUUUCUAUCUUUAAAAAAUUAAAAUAUUUCAGUACGAAAGGACCUAAUAUUUAAUAAAUUAUUAUUUUUAUAAUUGAAUUAAAUUAAUAUAUA